rnacentral:rRNA from 1 species
AUGGUUCUGGAAAACGGCGGCGAUGACGUCAUCGGCGGCGGAGGAGGAGGAGGAGAGGGGCGUGGAGAAGUGGUGCACCGCCAGCGCCGAAUCACCCUGCCAUCGGGUAUCCUGCUCGCCGACGCUAUCCCUCUCGGCGAGCACGAGAAGCAGACAAGGAGCUUGCUCCGGAUUGCUGUAUACAACAUCAGCUACAUCAGAAGCCUAUUCCCUGAGAAGUACUUCAGUGAUAAGUCUGCGCUGGCAGUAGAGAUGAAGCUUAAGAACCUGAUGCAUAUGGAUGCUGACCCCAAGAGACUGAUUCAUUGGAUGAAGAAAGUCUCACUCAGCUAUCCCAACUCAAAUGGGGAGGAAGUUGCAAUGAACAUGAGUCGCACAGGGAGCAAAAAGAAUAGUGCCACAUUCAAGUCAAAUGCAGCAGAAGUCACUCCUGAUCAGAUGAGAUGA